AUUGAACGCUGGCGGCAUGCCUUACACAUGCAAGUCGAACGGCAGCACGGGAGCAAUCCUGGUGGCGAGUGGCGAACGGGUGAGUAAUAUAUCGGAACGUGCCCAGUCGUGGGGGAUAACGUAGCGAAAGCUACGCUAAUACCGCAUACGAUCUACGGAUGAAAGCGGGGGAUCGCAAGACCUCGCGCGAUUGGAGCGGCCGAUAUCAGAUUAGCUAGUUGGUGAGGUAAAGGCUCACCAAGGCGACGAUCUGUAGCUGGUCUGAGAGGACGACCAGCCACACUGGAACUGAGACACGGUCCAGACUCCUACGGGAGGCAGCAGUGGGGAAUUUUGGACAAUGGGCGCAAGCCUGAUCCAGCAAUGCCGCGUGCAGGAUGAAGGCCUUCGGGUCGUAAACUGCUUUUGUACAGAACGAAACGGUCCUUUCUAAUACAAGGGGCUAAUGACGGUACUGUAAGAAUAAGCACCGGCUAACUACGUGCCAGCCGCCGCGGUAA
rnacentral:rRNA from 1 species